GUUGGGUGCUGUGGCGCACGCCUGUAAUCCCAGCAACUGGGGAGGCUGAGGUGGGAGGAUCACAAGUUCAAAGCCAGCCUCAGCAAAAGCAAGGUGCUAAGCAACUCAACUCAGUGAGACCUUGUCUCUA
rnacentral:sRNA from 1 species